rnacentral:rRNA from 1 species
UGGGGAAUAUUGGACAAUGGGGGCAACCCUGAUCCAGCAAUGCCGCGUGUGUGAAGAAGGCCUGCGGGUUGUAAAGCACUUUCAGUAGCGAGGAAAUGCUCAAGGUUAAUACCCUUGAGUCUUGACGUUAACUACAGAAGAAGCACCGGCUAACUCCGUGCCAGCAGCCGCGGUAAUACGGAGGGUGCAAGCGUUAAUCGGAAUUACUGGGCGUAAAGCGCGCGUAGGCGGUCUGUUAAGUCGGAUGUGAAAUCCCCGGGCUCAACCUGGGCACUGCAUUCGAAACUGGCAAACUAGAGUAUGGUAGAGGGAAGUGGAAUUUCAGGUGUAGCGGUGAAAUGCGUAGAUAUCUGAAGGAACAUCAGUGGCGAAGGCGACUUCCUGGAUCAAUACUGACGCUGAGGUGCGAAAGCGUGGGGAGCAAACA